CCUACGGGAGGCUGCAGUGAGGAAUAUUGGUCAAUGGCCGGGAGGCUGAACCAGCCAAGUCGCGUGAGGGAAGACGGCCCUACGGGUUGUAAACCUCUUGUGUCAGGGAGCAAGGUGCAGGGCGGGACCAGCUGUGAGAGUACCGGAAGAAAAAGCAUCGGCUAACUCCGUGCCAGCAGCCGCGGUAAGACGGAGGAUGCGAGCGUUAUCCGGAUUUAUUGGGUUGAAAGGGAUCGUAGAUGGGUUGUUAAGUCAGUUGUGAAAGUUUGCGGCUCAACCGUAAAAUUGAAAUUGAUACUGGCAGUCUUGCGUACAUUUGAGGUAGGCGGAAUUCGUGGUGUAGCGGUGCAAUGCUUAGAUAUCACGAAGAACCCCGAUUGCGAAGGCAGCUUACUAAACUGUGCCUGACAUUGAUGCUCGACAGUGUGGGUAUCAAACAGGAUUAGAUACCCUGGUAGUC
rnacentral:rRNA from 1 species